GGGGAUCUCAAAUGAUGAUGGAAAACCCAAGGAAUAUCAGAAAUAUGCAGCCAAAAAAAGCAGCUCAACAUUAGAUAAUAAUCUCAUAUUUAAAAGAAGAGGCAGCCAACUAGCAGAAAAGGGGGAGGUUGUAAAAUAUGUUCACCAAAAGUGAGCAUCAGAAUCAAAAUAAUACAAAACAAGACGACGGGAAAAAGAAAAGAGGAAGGGAGGGAAGGAGAAGCCCUCAACUGCUAUUAAUUCCAAGUAUAAAAGAGAAAUAGCAGUAACUCCCAGAGAUACCAAAAGAAAAAGAAAAACAAAAGACUAACAAACACACUGAAUUUUCCUGGAAAUAAUUUGAAACCCUAAAAAUGAGAACACUUGUUAAAAUCUCAUGGUUCAUCACCCAGAGGGGUUUAAAACAAAAUUAUUUGAAAUAAGUGCUUCCUUCAUUUGCUAUCCAAAACCACAUAAAAAAUAAUGCAUAAAAUUUCAUAACCUUCUCAGUUGCCUUCAAUUCUUCCAACAUUUUCCCCUAGAAACCAAAGAAUGCAAAAGCAAAUAAAUCCUAAUUAUCUAAGCUAAAUGAACAGUUUCAGGAAGUAGGAAACAAAGCAUAUGAACAAAAAAGAACAAAUUCCCAACGCCAAAGUACCUUACACGCAUGACCCAUUAAUAUUCAAAACAUUAAGAAACGAAUAGAAAAAAUCAUCCCUAAGAAGAAAAUAAAGAUGCAAUUGAACAAAAUAGACAUAGAAAGUAUAGAAUCAAAGUGGAUUUAGGACUUACAGGGAGCC
rnacentral:misc_RNA from 1 species